GCUCCUACCGAUACCGGGUGGUUCGGUGAACCUUUUGGACCUCGUAAGAGGAAAGAUAAGUAAAUCAUAUCACCUAGAGGAAGGAGAAGUCGUAACAAGGUUU
rnacentral:rRNA from 1 species